rnacentral:rRNA from 1 species
UACGAAGGGGGCUAGCGUUGUUCGGAAUUACUGGGCGUAAAGCGCGCGUAGGCGGUUUUGCAAGCCAGAGGUGAAAUGCCUGAGCUCAACUUAGGAAUUGCCUUUGGGACUGCGAGGCUUUGAGGACGGGAGAGGUGAGUGGAAUUCCCAGUGUAGAGGUGAAAUUCGUAGAUAUUGGGAAGAACACCGGUGGCGAAGGCGGCUCACUGGCCCGUUUCUGACGCUGUAGCGCGAAAGCGUGGGGAGCGAACAGG